rnacentral:rRNA from 1 species
GCAUAUUUUAUAUGUAGAAACUGCGAACGGCUCAUUAAAACAGUUAUAAUCUACUUGACAUUUUCUAUAUAAGGAUAACUACGGAAAAGCUGUAGCUAAUACUUGCUUUAGCACUCUUGAUUUAUUUCUUGAGUGUGUACUUGUUAAGCCUUAUAAGAAAAGAGUUAUUAACUUAAGGAAUUAUAACAAAGAAGUAACACGUAAUGGAUUCGUCCAUUUCUAGUGUGUAUCAAUCGAGUUUCUGACCUAUCAGCUUUUGAUGUUAGGGUAUUGGCCUAACAUGGCUAUGACGGGUAACGGGGAAUUAGAGUUCGAUUCCGGAGAGGGAGCCUGAGAAAUAGCUACCACAUCUAAGGAAGGCAGCAGGCGCGUAAAUUACCCAAUUCUAAAGAAGAGAGGUAGUGACAAGAAAUAACAAUACAAGGCCAAUCUGGCUUUGUAAUUGGAAUGAUGGGAAUUUAAAACCUUCCCAAAAUUCAAUUGGAGGGCAAGUCUGGUGCCAGCAGCCGCGGUAAUUCCAGCUCCAAUAGCGUAUAUUAAAAUUGUUGCAGUUAAAACGCUCGUAGUUGAAUUUCAAAGAAUCGAUAUUUUAAGUAACGCUUUUUAGCUUAAAUCCACAUAACUGAUACUACGUAUCGACUUUGUGCGCAUUUUCGCUAUUACGUGUUCUUUUAAUUAAAAUGAUUCUUUUUAAGAUUCAUCAUUUGUGCGCUUCGGCGCGUUUUUGGUGAUCUUGUUACUUUGAGUAAAUUAGAGUGUUCAAAGCAAACAGAUAUAGCAUUUGUGCGUUUGAAUACUACAGCAUGGAAUAACAAAAUUGAACAAGUCAGAAUUUUUUGUUCUUUUUUCUUAUUUUGGCUUAGUUACGAUUAAUAGGAGUAGCUUGGGGGCAUUUGUAUUCAGAUGUCAGAGGUGAAAUUCUUAGAUUUUCUGGAGACAAACAACUGCGAAAGCAUUUGCCUAAAAUACUUCCAUUAAUCAAGAACGAAAGUUAAGGGAGUGAAGACGAUCAGAUACCGUCGUAAUCUUAACCAUAAACUAUGCCGACUAGGCUUUGGAUGAAAGAUUUUAAAAUAAGAGAUUCUUUUCCCUUCGGGGAUUAGUACUCUUAGAUUGCUUCCUUCAGUGCCUUAUGAGAAAUCAAAGUCUUUGGGUUCUGGGGCGAGUAUUCGCGCAAGCGAGAAAGUUAAAAGAAUUGACGGAAGGGCACCACCAGGCGUGGAGCUUGCGGCUUAAUUUGACUCAACACGGGAAAACUCACUAGUUUAAGACAAGAGUAGGAUUGACAGAUUAAUAGCUCUUUCUUGAUUUCUUGGAUGGUGAUGCAUGGCCGUUUUUAGUUCGUGAAUAUGAUUUGUCUGGUUAAUUCCGAUAACGAACGAGAUCUUAACCUGCUAAUUAGCGGCAAAUACGAUAUAUUCUUAUGUGGAAUUGCAUAUAGUGGAUUUGUCUGGUUUUGCAGAAAAUAUUGGAAUUACGUUAAAUGUGAUUCCUUUCCCUUUUCUACUUAAUUUACAUUUCCAUCUAUUUCUUUUUUGCGUAUGAAUGUAUUUGCUUGAUUGUAAAGCUUCUUAGAGGAACGAUGU